AGAGUUUGAUCAUGGCUCAGGAUGAACGCUAGCGGAGGCCUAACACAUGCAAGCCGAGCGGUAGAGAUUCUUCGGAAUCUUGAGAGCGGCGUACGGGUGCGGAACACGUGUGACACUACUUAUCUGGAGGAUAGCCUUUCGAAAGGAAGAUUAAUACUCCAUAAUAUAUUGAUUGGCAUCGAUUGAUAUUGAAAGCUCCGGCGGAUAGAGAUGGGCACGCGCAAGAUUAGCUAGUUGGUGAGGUAACGGCUCACCAAGGCGAUGAUCUUUAGGGGGCCUGAGAGGGUGAUCCCCCACACUGGUACUGAGACACGGACCAGACUCCUACGGGAGGCAGCAGUGAGGAAUAUUGGUCAAUGGGUGCAAGCCUGAACCAGCCAUCCCGCGUGAAGGACGACUGCCCUAUGGGUUGUAAACUUCUUUUGUAUAGGGAUAAACCUACCCUCGUGAGGGUAGCUGAAGGUACUAUACGAAUAAGCACCGGCUAACUCCGUG
rnacentral:rRNA from 1 species